AUAUAUCAACCUCUUCAGCUUUUUGUUUGUCGAGUGUUGGAUGUGGGGGGUCAUUUUUGCUGGUCUUAUUUAAAAAGGUCAGCUCCCCUGAAAUGCAUUAGCGGAACAAUUUGUGGAACGUUUAUUGGUGUGAUAACUAUCUACGCUAUUGACGUGAAGCAGUUCAGCUUCUAACAGUCCAUUGACUUGGACAAGUUUUUAUUA
rnacentral:misc_RNA from 1 species